UACGAAGGGGGCUAGCGUUGCUCGGAAUCACUGGGCGUAAAGCGCACGUAGGCGGAUUGUUAAGUCAGGGGUGAAAUCCUGGAGCUCAACUCCAGAACUGCCUUUGAUACUGGCGAUCUUGAGUCCGGGAGAGGUGAGUGGAACUGCGAGUGUAGCGGUGAAAUGCGCAGAUAUCAGGAAGAACACCCGUGGCGAAGGCGGCUCUCUGGGACGGUACUGACGCUGAGACGCGAAAGCGUGGGGAGCGAACAGG
rnacentral:rRNA from 1 species